rnacentral:ncRNA from 2 species
UACGUAGGGUCCAAGCGUUGUCCGGAAUUAUUGGGCGUAAAGAGCUCGUAGGCGGUCCAUUAAGUCUGAUGUGAAAUCUCAGGGCUCAACCCUGAAAUCGCAUUCGAUACUGGUGGACUUGAGGCAGGUAGGGGAAGGUGGAAUUCCUGGUGUAGCGGUGAAAUGCGCAGAUAUCAGGAGGAACACCGGUGGCGAAGGCGGCCUUCUGGGCCUGUUCUGACGCUGAGGAGCGAAAGCGUGGGGAGCAAACAGG